rnacentral:rRNA from 1 species
UGCGCAGGCGGAUUGAUAAGUCAGUGGUGAAAUCUCCCGGCUCAACCGGGAAACUGCCAUUGAAACUGCCAAUCUAGAGUACAGUUGAAGUAGGCGGAAUGUAGCAUGUAGCGGUGAAAUGCAUAGAUAUGCUACAGAACACCGAUUGCGAAGGCAGCUUACUAAGCUGUAACUGACGCUCAGGCACGAAAGCGUGGGGAGCAAACAGGAUUAGAUACCCUGGUAGUCC